rnacentral:rRNA from 1 species
GACGAACGCUGGCGGCGUGCUUAACACAUGCAAGUCGAACGGUGAAGCGCCUUCCUUUUUGGUGGGUGUGGAUGAGUGGCGAACGGGUGAGUAACACGUGAGUAACCUGCCCCCUUCUCCUGGAUAACCGCAUGAAAGUGUGGCUAAUACGGGAUAUUCUGGGUCUGUCGCAUGAUGGGUCUGGGAAAGAUAUUGUUUCGGUGGGGGAUGGGCUCGCGGCCUAUCAGCUUGUUGGUGGGGUGAUGGCCUACCAAGGCGGUGACGGGUAGCCGGCCUGAGAGGGUGGACGGUCACACUGGGACUGAGACACGGCCCAGACUCCUACGGGAGGCAGCAGUGGGGAAUAUUGCACAAUGGGCGCAAGCCUGAUGCAGCGACGCCGCGUGAGGGAUGGAGGCCGUCGGGUUGUGAACCUCUUUCGCCAGUGAAGCAGGCCUGCCUCGUUUGUGGGUGGGUUGACGGUAGCUGGAUAAGAAGCGCCGGCUAACUACGU